AGGUUUUAACAAAAGGGUUGUUCAAUGAGACGCUUUUUGUUGGGCUAUUUGCUUUGUUCAAUUAAUUAACUGUUUUAUUUUUUAAUCUUUGUCAAUUAAUUUGUUAAUGUGUUCAUUUUAUCAACAUUUUAAAGUUAACAAGUAACAAUGACCAGUCAGUAGGCUCUUCACAGCUGGUGCCAAGGCUGAUUCAAUUUAAUGUCUUCAAACUAUUACAUGGCUAUAUGAUUAAUGGUACAGUUGUUGGAUAUGGUUACAGUCAGGCCACCAGGACUAGAGAUUCAACUGGCAGCUUUAAAUCUCAAGUUGAAAGAGGAAAACAAUUGUUUAACUGGAUGACUGCAAUUGGCUUUUUUUACAUUUCUGCCAGUUUAUCACAAAUUUCAAGCUGUCAACAUAUAUAAACUUUGAAUAUUACAUGAUGCUUUUGGUGGACCAAUAUAUUUAAACCCAGAUUUGUGACAUCCUUAACAUGCCCAACCGCAGACUACCUUCCUGUCAGCAAGUCUUCACCAUCUAAACCUUAAAAUGUCGAGUUUUGUCUGUUACCUUCAUCCUGCAGUUAUUGCAUUACAAUGGUUUAUUUAACAACCUCAACUUGACCCUUUUGCUGAUAAAAUUUUGUCCACUGGAAAGUUGAUUGCUGAUUCUACCCUCAUCUCAAUGGAAAAAAGCUGUUGCAAAAAUUGGUUAAAUUUCUCGCAAUUAAAGUGUUCUUCUCUUAACCAUCGUUAAACCAAAUAUAAUAAUAGAUAUUAUUUACUCGAUGGAAGAAAAGAUAAAAAAUAAUUUCAUCAAUGAAAGUUAACUCAACUUGUAAUAGACUUCCUUUUUUACUCGCCUUUAUCCGCCUUCUUCUUGUCUUUAACUUAUCAUUUCAGGGAUAAGAAUUUUCGCCUCUUUUUUCUACUCUCUUACCAUUUCUUGAUUGAUUGUGAACAAAACGGUAAUAAUAAUGAUAAUAAUGAAAAUAAGUUGAGAAAUGAAAAGGCGGCUUUGUGUUCACCAAAAUGUUACUUUAGUCACACAAAAAGGUAUCAAUGGUUCAGAAAUUAUUCAGGAAAUGAGAAAUUUUGUUUUUCUUUUCUUCAUUUACUCCUCUUCUUCAGGCCUGCAAGCUCAAAAUGGAAACCUCUUUACUCCAAUAUUUUCAAGAAUAUUCAAUUUCGCAUUCAAAGCUUAUUUAAACAACAAACAUUCAAUCCUUGAAUUUAACCUUUCAAUUUACUCACAUAUUCAUUAUCAUCAAUUGAUACUUGAUUCUUUAUUUGUUCAUUCAAUGAAAAUGAAUCAUCUUUUUUUCACCAAAACGCCUUAUUGUAUUAAAAUGAAAACUUGAUAAAUUACUGCUUAACAAACAAUAAGAAGACAAUAAUAG